AUGCUCAACCUCCAGCUCGGCAUCAGACAUGCAGUAGGAAAGCAAGGACCCAUUACGCUUGAUCUGAAGUCAUCAGCUUUUGACCCAAAGGAGAAAGUAUGGACAAGGUUCCCUCCAGAAGGCUCAAAAUACACCCCUCCACACAGUUCUUGUGAUUUUAGAUGGAAAGAUUACUGCCCGCAAGUAUUCCGGACAUUGCGCAAGUUGUUCAAGGUUGAUGCAGCAGAUUAUAUGUUAUCCCUUUGUGGCGACCAGGCUCUCCGGGAGUUAUCAUCCCCUGGUAAGAGUGGAAGCUUCUUUUAUCUCACGAGCAAUGAUCAGUACAUGAUAAAGACGAUGAAGAAAGCUGAAGUAAAGAUAUUUCUGAAGAUGCUUCGAGCUUACUACAAUCAUGUCCGGUCAUUCGAAAACACUCUAGUCACCAAGUUUUUUGGUCUGCAUUGUGUUAAGUUAGCCGGAGCUAACCAAAAGAAGGUUCGUUUUGUCAUAAUGGGAAAUCUGUUCUGUUCUGAUCACUUUAUUCAUAGGAGAUUUGAUUUGAAAGGCUCAUCCCUUGGACGUACGACUGACAAGCCACAGACAGAAAUAGACGAGUACACUAUUUUAAAAGACCUUGAUCUUAACUUUAUAUUUCGAUUGCAAAAACACUGGUACCAAGAGUUCCAGAGACAAGUCGACAAGGAUUGCGAUUUUCUCGAGCAGGAAAACAUUAUGGAUUACAGUCUUUUGGUGGGCGUACAUUUUAGAGACAAAAGAGUUAUAAUGACUGAAGGUUCCUUUGACAGUGAUAGCAGCAGAGGAUCAUCACCCCACCUAUCACCUCACCUAUCUAGAGGAGAUACUGAUCCAAACAGGUUGUCCAAGAUAAAGCUCGGGUCGAACAUGCCAACAAAAGCUGAAUUGACAAUUCGAAAGAGUGAUUGUGAACCACAGCUUAUUGGAGAACCUACCGGGGAGUUGUACGAUGUUAUAUUGUACUUUGGGAUUAUAGACAUACUUCAGGACUAUGAUAUCAGCAAAAAGCUUGAGCAUGCAUACAAGUCUUUCCAAUAUGACCCAACGUCUAUUUCAGCAGUAGAUCCAAAACUGUAUUCCAGGCGCUUUAAAGAUUUUGUAUACAAAGCAUUCCAAGAAGACAAGGUAGACAUCUGA
rnacentral:rRNA from 1 species